rnacentral:rRNA from 1 species
UACAGAGGUCUCAACCGUUGUUCGGAUUCAUUGGGCGUAAAGGGCGCGUAGGCGGCUUUUCAAGUGACGGGUGAAAUCCCUCGGCUUAACCGAGGAACUGCCUGUCAGACUGGAAGGCUUGAGACCGGGAGAGGUGAGUGGAAUUCCCAGUGUAGCGGUGAAAUGCGUAGAUAUUGGGAGGAACACCAGUGGCGAAGGCGGCUCACUGGACCGGAACUGACGCUGAGGCGCGAAAGCGUGGGGAGCAAACAGG